GUUAGACAUCACCUCUUUCACCAGAUUGAGAAUCAAGGCCAUCUCUAAACAAAAAGCUGCAUUUCCUUCCUCCAGCUCCCAGUGUGCAGUACUGGCCACUAGAGGACAUCCCAGACCUCUGCAGCUGCUGGCCCCAUUCACAAAGCCACGCUGAAAACCAAGGUCCUAGUCUGCCUCAAUUCAAUAUUAGAGCUGACUGGUUUUUAGGUGACACUGUGUCUGCUUGGAAUCCAGAGCUGGAAUGGCAGGAGCCCUUCAGCACUGGAAAAGUCAUCUGGAAGAAAAUUGCACCAGCACCUGCAUACGCUAUUCUUGUCUCCAGUGAUUUCUGUACAGUUCAGAGUUGCUUGCUUAAGGACUCAAAGCCACUGAAUCUCAAUACCUCAGCAGGAGCUGGUAUUAUACAUGUGCAAUCCGUGGUGUGAGCAAAGCUGCAGGAAUGGUUUGUGUAUGCAUAUGUCUAUAUAUACGUAGCUACCUCUUGGUUUGUCUGGCUCUGUUUACAAACAUCACGAGGCCAAAGGCUGCAAAGCAAUUUGCAGCUCUGGGCAAACCUGUUUUCCAGUGGAUAAAAUUCAGUGCAGGAGUGGGCUAAUAGCACUGACAAGCUAGGAGAGUAAAACAGACUGACUGAGUCUAGACACUGCAAAGAGCCUGGCACUUAUAGUUUAAGCUGACUGCAUGUGCUCUCUCCAGGGGAGAGAGAUUUCCCUGGGGAGGAAGGUUUCAGAAGUUAGGCUUGCAUCCGAAGUGCCCUGGAAUGCCUCUGAUUUCCCCAAGGCUACUCCCUAGUUGCUGUGAAGUAAUUUGGAUCAGUUUUAGACUCGUGACAGUUCAAAUGUAUAAAUAGUACAAACAGAUUAAUUAGCAACAAAGCAGGAAAUAAAUGCAGAUGGCUCCAAGGGAAUUAACAGAAAUGCUGCUCCUUUUAAUCUGUACCUCAAAAGUUGACAGCAGGACUCAGAAACUCAUGACUUUUCUGAGAAAAUAAAGACUAAAUUUCUUCUCGUUUCACCAGUUUCAGGGUAAAAUUUUGCCCUCUCUCCUGAAUAAGAUGGCUCCAAAGGAUCAGGUCAAAAUCUGGAUGACAGGCACCUAAUGCAAAGAUAUCCAGGUUUAGGGGUAUUUUCCUGUGGGCAUCAUUAGCUACCCCUUGGUUAGAAAUGUCUUGUAAAGAACACGGAGUAACACAGACAGGGAGCAGCAGGUUAAUGCACAUGUCCAAGCUUCAAGUGCAGUUACUUCUCUUCAAAAAUCUGGGAAGAGACUCCACUGGAAGUGGGGUGGAGAAGGUGAACUUUGAAGAAGGUUUCCUAAUGACUCAUCACCCCCAAGAGAAGAAAGACACGGCUUAAAAUUGAUCCCUUCCUCCUUUGUUUGUUUGGAAGAUGGAAGAGCAGGAUUUCUUAGCUUGCUCUGAACAUGGGCUGCUAGUUUCGCAUUGCAGUGUUAGAAGGCCAAUACCAGCUCAGGUCUCUACAAAUUGACUCUCAGUUUUACUCUGUGUAAUGAAUAAACAAACCUUCCUCUGUAAGAUUGAAUUAAUUUGGAUUUAUUUGCCUACGUAUAGACAUUGCAUACGUUUUCAUUUAGGCAGUUUACACUGUCAAAGUGGCUCGUCUGGCUUAGCCUUCAAUUUCUGCCCACGCAGGCAGAAUUCAGAGUGGCUUUUGCAGACUUUUUGACCAUGGGACAAAUCCAGCUCAAUAUCAUCUGAGGAAAAGAAGUUAAAUGAAGUUUAACUGAAGUACAUGGAGUGGUUGCCAUAGCAAAAGUGAUGGAAGCCUCUUCAUUUUAGCUGUUGAGAGCAGGGCUGACAAAUGCAUGUGGUACUAUACUCUCUGGAACAUUUCCGCAGCUGAGAUGUACAUCUCCUCUAAUUUACACUUUCCUGAUCAAGAAAUGAACUGAGAGAGAAAGGAAAAAUUAAGGAAGAAAACUUUCCCCUUCUGAAAAGGGACACCAACCCUGCAGACCUCAGAGGAAGGCUGGUGAAAGGGAAGAGGCUGUGGAUUCAAAGGGGGAGAAGGUACAAGAUGCCUCCCUCCAACUGAGAUCUGAGUGCAGUGACCCAGACAAAUACUCUUUGUUUUGGCCACAGAAUCCUAUUGUUUGCCAAUGGAUAUGUUGACCCAACCUCCCAGUGAAUCUGUCUUUAUUUUCUUGCCUCAGUGAGCACAGAGAUCCCAGGAGUGAAUGUUGUUGAUAAUUUACAAUUCUCCAUUGAAUGCUGAGUUUGUCCCACCAGGUCUUACUCCAUUCUGAUGUGUUUCUUUUGGCUUUAACUGAUAACUCCAGGGAGGACUUAAGUACCUCAUUUAUUUCUGUCCCAUGAGGGAAAAAAGAUAACAGCAAAGAAAAAAAAUCUUUUAUUUUUAACGUUCAAUUUUGAUAUUCCUUCACUUCCUCAAGGAUUUUGUUUUCUCACAUCACACCCCAUCAAAGGCUCUGGUCUGUAAGUGAGUAAUAGCUUGUUCUCUGUCCUCUCAUCAUCCACCCCCGCAAAUACUCCUGCCUGGCUCCCAGUGCCAUACCAUCCUCACGUCCAUGAGUGGGUGUGCUAGAGCUUCUACAGAUCAAUAGUAAUUGGAAAAAAAAAACAAAUCUGUGGUCUUGCCUGGGUCAGCGCCUGCUAGGGGAGCACCAGGAGUUUGUGGGAAGCAUGCUGCAGAUGAUGCAGAGGGACAAAAAAAGAACUCCUAGGUCCCAGAGUACCAGCUACAGGUAUCUGUAUCACACAAUACUUCUGCAAACCACUUAAGCUUCAUCUUAUAAAUUAAUACUUGUUUUAUGUGUUCUCUCUAUACCUAAUAGAUAUUGCAGAGUGUUGUUGCCCUGGGAGAGCUUUCCAGUAAACAAACUUGCUGCAGCUGGUUUACAAGGCUAGCACAUUCUGGGCUCCCAGCGAGGUUCCUAU